rnacentral:lncRNA from 1 species
AUGACUGGUGACACAACCUACUUCCACGUUGUCUCCGUACUACUGUACUGUUUGUUGCUACUUGGCUUCCUGUCUCCGUACUACUGUACUGUUUGUUGCUACUUGGCUUCCUGUCUCCGUACUACUGUACUGUUUGUUGCUACUUGGCUUCCUGUCUCCGUACUACUGUACUGUUUGUUGCUACUUGGCUUCCUGUCCCCGUACUACUGUACUGUUUGUUGCUACUUGGCUUCCUGUCUCCGUACUACUGUACUGUUUGUUGCUACUUGGCUUCCUGUCUCCGUACUACUGUACUGUUUGUUGCUACUUGGCUGCCUGUCUCCGUACUACUGUACUGUUUGUUGCUACUUGGCUUCCUGCCUCCGUACUACUGUACUGUUUGUUGCUACUUGGCUUCCUGUCUCCGUACUACUGUACUGUUUGUUGCUACUUGGCUGCCUGUCUCCGUACUACUGUACUGUUUGUUGCUACUUGGCUUCCUGUCUCCGUACUACUGUACUGUUUGUUGCUACUUGGCUGCCUGUCUCCGUACUACUGUACUGUUUGUUGCUACUUGGCUUCCUGUCUCCGUACUACUGUACUGUUUGUUGCUACUUGGCUUCCUGUCUCCGUACUACUGUACUGUUUGUUGCUACUUGGCUUCCUGUCUCCGUACUACUGUACUGUUUGUUGCUACUUGGCUUCCUGUCUCCGUACUACUGUACUGUUUGUUGCUACUUGGCUUCCUGUCUCCGUACUACUGUACUGUUUGUUGCUACUUGGCUUCCUGUCUCCGUACUACUGUACUGUUUGUUGCUACUUGGCUGCCUGUCUCCGUACUACUGUACUGUUUGUUGCUACUUGGCUUCCUGUCUCCGUACUACUGUACUGUUUGUUGCUACUUGGCUUCCUGUCUCCGUACUACUGUACUGUUUGUUGCUACUUGGCUUCCUGUCUCCGUACUACUGUACUGUUUGUUGCUACUUGGCUUCCUGUCUCCGUACUACUGUACUGUUUGUUGCUACUUGGCUUCCUGUCUCCGUACUACUGUACUGUUUGUUGCUACUUGGCUUCCUGUCUCCGUACUACUGUACUGUUUGUUGCUACUUGGCUUCCUGUCUCCGUACUACUGUACUGUUUGUUGCUACUUGGCUUCCUGUCUCCGUACUACUGUACUGUUUGUUGCUACUUGGCUUCCUGUCUCCGUACUACUGUACUGUUUGUUGCUACUUGGCUUCCUGCCAAACGUUUCACUCUUAUUAA